GACGAACGCUGGCGGCGUGCUUAACACAUGCAAGUCGAACGGAAAGGCCCUGCUUUUGUGGGGUGCUCGAGUGGCGAACGGGUGAGUAACACGUGAGUAACCUGCCCUUGACUUUGGGAUAACUUCAGGAAACUGGGGCUAAUACCGGAUAGGAGCUCCUGCUGCAUGGUGGGGGUUGGAAAGUUUCGGCGGUUGGGGAUGGACUCGCGGCUUAUCAGCUUGUUGGUGGGGUAGUGGCUUACCAAGGCUUUGACGGGUAGCCGGCCUGAGAGGGUGACCGGCCACAUUGGGACUGAGAUACGGCCCAGACUCCUACGGGAGGCAGCAGUGGGGAAUAUUGCACAAUGGGCGGAAGCCUGAUGCAGCAACGCCGCGUGCGGGAUGACGGCCUUCGGGUUGUAAACCGCUUUCGCCUGUGACGAAGCGUGAGUGACGGUAAUGGGUAAAGAAGCACCGGCUAACUACGUGCCAGCAGCCGCGGUGAUACGUAGGGUGCGAGCGUUGUCCGGAUUUAUUGGGCGUAAAGGGCUCGUAGGUGGUUGAUCGCGUCGGAAGUGUAAUCUUGGGGCUUAACCCUGAGCGUGCUUUCGAUACGGGUUGACUUGAGGAAGGUAGGGGAGAAUGGAAUUCCUGGUGGAGCGGUGGAAUGCGCAGAUAUCAGGAGGAACACCAGUGGCGAAGGCGGUUCUCUGGGCCUUUCCUGACGCUGAGGAGCGAAAGCGUGGGGAGCGAACAGGCUUAGAUACCCUGGUAGUCCACGCUGUAAACGGUGGGUACUAGGUGUGGGGUCCAUUCCACGGGUUCCGUGCCGUAGCUAACGCUUUAAGUACCCCGCCUGGGGAGUACGGCCGCAAGGCUAAAACUCAAAGGAAUUGACGGGGCCCCGCACAAGCGGCGGAGCAUGCGGAUUAAUUCGAUGCAACGCGUAGAACCUUACCUGGGUUUGACAUGGAUCGGGAGUGCUCAGAGAUGGGUGUGCCUCUUUUGGGGUCGGUUCACAGGUGGUGCAUGGCUGUCGUCAGCUCGUGUCGUGAGAUGUUGGGUUAAGUCCCGCAACGAGCGCAACCCUUGUUCACUGUUGCCAGCACGUUAUGGUGGGGACUCAGUGGAGACCGCCGGGGUCAACUCGGAGGAAGGUGGGGAUGACGUCAAGUCAUCAUGCCCCUUAUGUCCAGGGCUUCACGCAUGCUACAAUGGCUGGUACAGAGAGUGGCGAGCCUGUGAGGGUGAGCGAAUCCCGGAAAGCCGGUCUCAGUUCGGAUUGGGGUCUGCAACUCGACCUCAUGAAGUCGGAGUCGCUAGUAAUCGCAGAUCAGCAACGCUGCGGUGAAUACGUUCCCGGGGCU
rnacentral:rRNA from 1 species